rnacentral:rRNA from 1 species
UACGAAGGGGGCUAGCGUUGUUCGGAAUUACUGGGCGUAAAGCGCGUGUAGGCGGGUCUUUAAGUCAGGGGUGAAAUGCCAAGGCUCAACCUUGGAACUGCCUUUGAUACUGGCAAUCUCGAGUCCGGGAGAGGUGAGUGGAACUGCGAGUGUAGAGGUGAAAUUCGUAGAUAUUCGCAAGAACACCAGUGGCGAAGGCGGCUCACUGGCCCGGUACUGACGCUGAGGUGCGAAAGCGUGGGGAGCAAACAGG